ensembl:misc_RNA Metazoa_SRP Metazoan signal recognition particle RNA
GCCAGGCGUGGUGGUGCAUGCCUGUAAUCCCAGCUACUCAGGAGGCUGAGGCAAGAGAAUCACUUGAACCCAGGAGGCGGAGGUUGCAGUGAGCCAAGAUUGCACCACUGCACUCCAGCCUGGGUGACAGAGUGAGACUGUGUCUCAA